rnacentral:lncRNA from 1 species
UACGAUAGGUAGACCUUUUCUUCAGUUUCACAUGCAGGCGUGAUAUAUUGCUGGAAUAGUGCUGACUGUGGCAUAAAACAACAUUCACUCACUCACUCAAAUUGACAUGCUAAGACAUUUACACGACAAUCAUCUUUGAAAUAUUCAUAUGAAAUCAACUUUCGAUCACAGUUAUGAAAUAUAAGCUUUAUUGUAUUGUUGCAGGAAGAAUAUAUUUUGUCCUGAGCAUAUUUGAAGACUUGCAAUAUUUACUCAGAAAUUGAUUAUCAACAAUUCUUAUGUAUUGUCCAAAAAGGAAUAAGAGUUGCAUGCUUAGUUGCUUCAAUAACUAUCGUCUAGAGCUUCCUUCACCAGGUGUAUGUGCUCUCCACUCCAGGACAUCCCCAUCUCCUUACUUCACUAUAUGUGUAUGUGCUCUCCACUCCAGGACAUCCCCAUCUCCUUACUUCACUAUAUGUGUAUGUGCUCUCCACUCCAGGACAUCCCCAUCUCCUUACUUCACUAUAUGUGUAUGUGCUCUCCACUCCAGGACAUCCCCAUCUCCUUACUUUACUAUAUGUGUAUGUGCUCUCCACUCCAGGACAUCCCCAUCUCCCUACUUCACUAUAUGUGUAUGUGCUCUCCACUCCAGGACAUCCCCAUCUCCUUACUUCACUAUAUGUGUAUGUGCUCUCCACUCCAGGACAUCCCCAUCUCCUUACUUCACUAUAUGUGUAUGUGCUCUCCACUCCAGGACAUCCCCAUCUCCCUACUUCACUAUAUGUGUAUGUGCUCUCCACUCCAGGACAUCCCCAUCUCCUUACUUUACUAUAUGUGUAUGUGCUCUCCACUCCAGGACAUCCCCAUCUCCCUACUUCACUAUAUGUGUAUGUGCUCUCCACGCCAGGACAUCCCCACCUCCCUACUUCACUAUAUGUGUAUGUGCUCUCCACUCCAGGACAUCCCCACCUCCCUACUUUACUAUAUGUGUAUGUGCUCUCCACUCCAGGACAUCCCCAUCUCCUUGCUUCACUAUAUGUGUAUGUGCUCUCCACUCCAGGACAUCCCCAUCUCCCUACUUCACUAUAUGUGUAUGUGCUCUCCACUCCAGCACAUCCCCAUCUCCUUACUUUACUAUAAGUGUAUGUGCUCUCCGCUCCAGUCAGUAGUCUGACACAAUUUGCAUUGCAUAGUUGCACCCCUUAGGUACGCCAGGAAACAAGUAUCAUGGGUUCCAAUCCCUGAUUAUCUUACUCUUUGUCAGCACCAUACCCAUGCUCAUGGGUUUCACCGAAGUGGUAAACGUCUGCGACCUGCAUCACUUCGGGCUUUCUUCCCGCAUGAAGCUGACUUGAUGUAACUGAAAUACUGUUCAAAGUGGCAUUAAACCCCUCUCUCGGUUACAUCGUGAGAGGACUUGUGGUCUUCAGAACAUUUCACAAACUUUCUAUUGCUUGUCAUAAGAGGUGGCUAAAUUAGUUUGGGUGACAUUGUUCAUUUGAAUCUCAUCGUACCCUGAUGCCAUGGACUUGACUUUUCACAGGCUGCUGUGAUAUACAUGUAGCAGAAUAGGAUUUAAAUGUAGAUUAUAUUCAAAUUGUUUUAUUUUAGAUGAACCUUUUACUAUGGAUGUGUUUGCAAUAAACAUCAUAAUAUUUCUAUCUCUUGUUUAUUCAGUGGUAAGGACAAGUUAUGGUAAGGACAAGGUAUGGUAAGGACAAGUUAUGGUAAGGACAAGGAAUAGUAAGGACAAGUUAUGGUAAGGACAGGGUAUGGUAAGGACAAGUUAUGGUAAGGACAAGGUAUGGUAAGGACAAGUUAUGGUAAGGACAAGGAAUAGUAAGGACAAGUUAUGGUAAGGACAGGGUAUGGUAAGGACAAGUUAUGGUAAGGACAAGGUAUGGUAAGGACAAGUUAUGGUAAGGACAAGGAAUAGUAAGGACAAGUUAUGGUAAGGACAGGGUAUGGUAAGGACAAGGUAUGGUAAGGACAAGUUAUGGUAAAGACAAGGUAUGGUAAGGACAAGGUAUGGAAAGGACAAGUUAUGGUAAAGACAAGGUAUGGUAGGGACAAGGUAUGGUAAGGACAAGUUAUGGUAAGGACAAGGAAUAGUGAGGACAAGUUAUGGUAAAGACAAGGUAUGGUAAGGACAAGUUAUGGUAAGGACAAGGAAUAGUAAGGACAAGUUAUGGUAAGGACAGGGUAUGGUAAAGACAAGGUAUGCUAAGGACAAGGUAUGGUAAGGACAAGUUAUGGUAAGGACAAGUUAUGGUAAGGACAAGUUAUGGUAAGGACAGGGUAUGGUAAGGACAAGGUAUGGUAAGGACAAGUUAUGGUAAGGACAAGGUAUGGUAAGGACAAGUUAUGGUAAAGACAAGGUAUGGUAAGGACAAGUUAUGGUAAGGACAAGUUAUGGUAAAGACAAGGUAUGGUAAGGACAAGGUAUGGUAAGGACAAGGAAUAGUAAGGACAGGUUAUGGUAAAGACAAGGUUUGGUAAGGACAAGGUAUGGUAAGGACAAGUUAUGGUAAGGACAAGGAAUAGUAAGGACAUGUUAUGGUAAAGACAAGGUAUGGUAAGGGCAGGGUAUGGUAAGGACAAGGUAUGGUAAGGACAAGUUAUGGUAAAGACAAUGUAUGGUAAGGAGCGGGUAUGGUAAGGACAGGGUAUUUUAAGGACAAGGUAUGGUAAGGACAGGGUAUGUUAAGGUUGGUAUGGUAAGAAAAGGGUAUAGUAAGGGCAGGGUAUGGGAAGGACAAGGAAUAGUAAGGACAAGUUAUGGUAAAGACAAGGUAUGGUAAGGACAGGGUAUGUUAAGGACCAGGUAUAGUUAGGACAGGGUAUAGUAAGGGCAGGGUAUUGGAAGGACAAGGUAUGGUAAGGACAAGGUAUGGUAAGGACAAGUUAUGGUAAGGACAAGGAAUAGUAAGGACAAGUUAUGGUUAGGAAAGGGUAUGGUAAGGACAAGUUAUGGUAAGGACAAGUUAUGGUAAAGACAAGGUAUGGCAAGGACAGGGUAUGGUAAGGACAAGGUAUGGUAAGGACAAGUUAUGGUAAAGACAAGGUAUGGUGAGGAGCGGGUAUGGUAAGGACAGGGUAUGUUAAGGACAAGGUAUAGUUAGGACAGGGUAUAGUUAGGACAGGGUAUGGUAAGGACAGGGUAUGUUAAGGAUGGUAUGGUAAGAAAAGGGUAUAGUAAGGGCAGGGUAUGGGAAGGACAAGGAAUAGUAAGGACAAGUUAUGGUAAAGACAAGGUAUGGUAAGGACAAGGUAUGGUAAAAACAAGUUAUGGUAAGGACAAGGAAUAGUAAGGACAAGUUAUGGUAAGGACAGGGUAUGGUAAGGACAAGUUAUGGUAAGGACAAGUUAUGGUAAGGACAAGGUAUGGUAAGGACAAGUUAUGGUAAGGACAUGUAAUGGUAAAGACAGGGUAUAGUAAGGACAAGGUAAGGGAAGGACAAGGUAAGGAUAACAUAUGUUAAGGACAAGGUAAGGGAAUGACAGGGUAUGGUAAGGACAGGGUUCGGUAAGGACAGGGUAUAGUAAGGACAGGGUAUGGUAAGGACAAGGUCAGGGAAGGACAAGGUAAGGAUAACAUAUGUUAAGGACAAGGUAUAGUAAGGACAAGGUAAGGGAAGGACAAGGUAAGGAUAACAUAUGUUGAGGACAAGGUAUAGUAAGGACAAGGUAAGGGAAGGACAAGGUAAGGAUAACAUAUGUUAAGGACAAGGUAAGGGAAUGACAGGGUAUGGUAAGGACAGGGUUCGGUAAGGACAGGGUAUAGUAAGGACAGGGUAUGGUAAGGACAAGGUCAGGGAAGGACAAGGUAAGGAUAACAUAUGUUAAGGACAAGGUAUAGUAAGGACAAGGUAAGGGAAGGACAAGGUAAGGAUAACAUAUGUUGAGGACAAGGUAUAGUAAGGACAAGGUAUGUUAGUGACAAGGUAUGGUAGGGACUAGGUAAGGACAACAUAUAUUAAGGACAUGUUAUGGUGAGGACAAGGUAUAGUAAGGACAGAGUAUAUUGAGGACGAGAUAUGUUAAGGACAAGGUAUGUUAAGGACAAGGUAUUGUAAGGACAUGGAAUAGUAAGGACAGGGUAUGUUAUUAUUAUUAAGGACGGGUUAUGUAAGGACAACAUAUGUUAAGGAUGAGAUAUGUUAAGGACAAGGUAUGGUAAGGACAUGGUAUAGUAAGGACAGGUUAUGUUAUUAUUAAGGACGGAUUAUGUAAGGACAAGGUAUGGUAAGGACAUGGUAUGGUAAGGACAAGGUAUGUAAUCACGAGGUAUUUGAGGACCCUUUGUGGCUCACAGGAUCUGCAUAAUUUAAGGAAUGAAAUAGCUUGGAUGUAAUUGUGAAGGUAAUUCAAUGUGUUCAUAUGAAAGACACUUAUCCUCUUCAUUUCAACACUUGCAUGUCUGGAACUUUACAACACAUAGUUAAUAGGUAAAGCUAAAAUUGAUAAAAAAGAAGAGAUUUUCUUGAAGAGUUUCUGAUAUAUUUGAACAUGUUGAUCCUAACUAAGUUUUCAACAAGAUAAAAACUUCAUCUUGGAUCACUUUAUUGGUCAUAGCUAGAUUUUCUCUUGAAUCUUGAAAAACAUCAUUCUUUUUGUGUGUGCAUACUUUGGAGAUAAACGUUACCAAAUGUCAUUUGGAACUGACAGCAUUUGCCACAGGUUUCAAAUGGUACAAUUUCUGUAGAUCAAUUACCCAUUCUACCAUGACAUUGAUGAAUGCUUGAUUCUGAUUGGUUAAAAAGAGGUAAACAACCGACAAUGAAAGUAAAAUAUAACAUUAUAAAAAUUGUUUGAAAAAACAUCACACCAGCAGGGAUAGUUAGUCAACAUGUUAAUGUUGAACAGCAUCACACGCACAGUACUGGGUUGUCUUCUGGUUUCCUACAAUUUCUCUAGCAGCCAUAACUGAGAGUGCAGUGCAGAUAUAGUGACAACCGGGACACGUUAGGACGGUUCUCAGUUCAGGGUGGGGAGGUAUAAUUCAAAGAUUCACACAUUCAAAAUAAGUGAAAGAGUGAUAUCUAAAAAAUUUUGUUGAGAAAAUAAUAAUUGUUCAUUUUUUUGGUAACUUUUUCUGAAACCCACGAACAGGUAAUUUCAUUAUUGAAACAACCGACAAUGAAAGUGAAAUAUAACAUAAUAAAAUGUGUUUGAAGACAUUUUAUUCAUGACAACAUGGUGUUUACAAACCUUUUUCUGAUCAAUAUCCAUUGCCAUCUCCGUCAACCACCACCGUUAGAAUUUGGCAGGAGGGGAUUUGAAAGUGCAUCAGAAAACACUUCCCUUCAAAAGUCCACGAAAACAAUGUCCCAACUGAAGUGACAGCUUAUCAAACUUGAUGAAAUUCAUUUCAGAACACCCACAAUUAUGAAAAUCAUACACGACCUACUAUUCCUGGACCAGAAAUGUCUAAGUUCUGUCACUAUUUGGCUUUGGAUCCGUGAAAUCUUGAAAUUGACAGGUCACACCAUAGAGAUUCCUCUUUUCAAAAUAUCCGGCUCGUCUGCACCCUAAACAGCGGCUGUUCAGUCAUACUCAGUUCCAUUAGUAAUCAUAUGAAUGUACCCGCAGGCUCGAUCAAUCCCAGUAAAUCUACAGGUAAAUGUUGAACCACAUCAUAGAUCGGGGUUGUCAUCUUUUUCUUUUAACUAGAUCUAGUUAAUGUAAACACAUGAUUGUCAGCCAUUGACAGCUGUGAGGUGUGAGUAACCGUGAUGUAGGUCAACUUCUGCCACAUCCAAGUUCAGGGUGGAGAGGCAUUUACUUUGAUGUUAUUAUUGUUUACUGGGGGUAAUUGCUAUCUGACUAAUAACUCUUAGGCAUGUUAAAUAUAUAUUAGAAUGUUAAUUCAUAAAGUUUGCUGUAGAAAUAUAUUUGUUUAGCAUUUUAAAACCUUUUUCUAUUACCCGUCACCCCUACAAUAGAAAUGAUGGCAUGUUCGAUUUCCAAGAAAUGACCUCUAUCACAAAUUUCCGAGAAACGACAGCCAGUCCACAGUGUACAAAAGUGUGCAACAGUUUGAUAGAAAUUAAAACAUCUCUCUUUGGAUUAAGUUAGGAGUGUUAUUUGUCAA